rnacentral:rRNA from 1 species
GAUGAACGCUGGCGGCGUGCCUAAUACAUGCAAGUCGAGCGAACGGACGAGAAGCUUGCUUCUCUGAUGUUAGCGGCGGACGGGUGAGUAACACGUGGAUAACCUACCUAUCAGACUGGGAUAACUUCGGGAAACCGGAGCUAAUACCGGAUAAUAUUUUGAACCGCAUGGUUCAAAAGUAAAAGACGGUCUUGCUGUCACUUAUAGAUGGAUCCGCGCUGCAUUAGCUAGUUGGUAAGGUAACGGCUUACCAAGGCAACGAUGCAUAGCCGACCUGAGAGGGUGAUCGGCCACACUGGAACUGAGACACGGUCCAGACUCCUACGGGAGGCAGCAGUAGGGAAUGUUCCGCAAUGGGCGAAAGCCUGACGGAGCAACGCCGCGUGAGUGAUGAAGGUCUUCGGAUCGUAAAACUCUGUUAUUAGGGAAGAACAUAUGUGUAAGUAACUGUGCACAUCUUGACGGUACCUAAUCAGAAAGCAACGGCUAACUACGUG